AGGCCAUUGCUAUCAGGGUUUGACUAAGCCAUGCGAGUCGAGAGGUGUAAGACCUCGGCAUACUGCUCAGUAACACGUGGUUAACCUGCCCUAAGGUGGAGAAUACUCCCGGGAAACUGGGGUUAAUGCUCCAUAGUGGAUAUGUCCUGGAAUGGUAUAUCCUCGAAAGAUCCGUCGCCUUAGGAUGGGACUGCGUCCGAUUAGGUUGUUGGCGGGGUAACGGCCCACCAAGCCAUUGAUCGGUACGGGUUGUGGGAGCAAGAUCCCGGAGAUGGAUUCUGAGACAUGAAUCCAGGCCCUACGGGGCGCAGCAGGCGCGCAAACUUUACAAUGCGAGCAAUCGUGAUAAGGAAACCCUGAGUGCCUGUCGAUGCAGGCUGUUCAUAUAUCUAAAUCAUAUGUGAAGAAAGGGCAGGGCAAGACCGGUGCCACCCGCCGCGGUAAUACCGGCUGCUCGAGUGAUGGCCACUAUUACUGGGUUUAAAGCGUCCGUAGCUUGA
rnacentral:rRNA from 1 species